rnacentral:rRNA from 1 species
GACGAACGCUGGCGGCGCGCCUAACACAUGCAAGUCGAACGAGCGAGAGAGAGCUUGCUUUCUCAAGCGAGUGGCGAACGGGUGAGUAACGCGUGAGGAACCUGCCUCAAAGAGGGGGACAACAGUUGGAAACGACUGCUAAUACCGCAUAAGCCCUCAGGUCGGCAUCGACCAGAGGGAAAAGGAGCGAUCCGCUUUGAGAUGGCCUCGCGUCCGAUUAGCUAGUUGGUGAGGUAACGGCCCACCAAGGCAACGAUCGGUAGCCGGACUGAGGGGUUGAACGGCCACAUUGGGACUGAGACACGGCCCAGACUCCUACGGGAGGCAGCAGUGGGGAAUAUUGCACAAUGGGGGAAACCCUGAUGCAGCGACGCCGCGUGGAGGAAGAAGGUCUUCGGAUUGUAAACUCCUGUUGUUGAGGAAGAUAAUGACGGUACUCAACAAGGAAGUGACGGCUAACUACGUG